rnacentral:lncRNA from 1 species
AGUUGUUUUGAAAGUUUUGUGGGAAAAGCCAAUGUUUGAUCAUUCUGACUCAGAAAUCGAAUAUCAAUAUCAUUCCAAUGUUGGUAAUAUUACUGAAUCAAGUUUUAAAAUAUGUGAUCUUAUUUUUGAAAAAGAAAAUGAGUUAGUGGGAUUGUCACCAAACAAAGAACCAGAGUUUAUUUCCAUACUUCCUCGUUUAAUUUCAACUUCUAUGAUUGAAAGAUGUGCUUCUUGGGAAGAACUAAAAAUCUUUUCAGAAGCUUUCAAUAGUGAUGUUCCUAAAGAAGACUUAAAAUCAACACGUAAUGAUUUAAAAGGCAAAACUACGAAAAAUAUGUUUGGAUCUAAUUAAAACACAUGGCAUAAUUGAGGUUGAUACCUCAAAACCAGAAACAAUCAAGUACACAAAACCAGCACGGCUUUGUUUAUUUUGCAAAGUUCCUCAGACUCGGUUAAAACCUCAUAUUCUUUUAAAGCAUGGUACUGAAACUUCAGUAUUGCCUCUUUUAACUAUGUACUCUGAAGAUUAGAAUCAUUAUAUAGAAAUAUUUUGAAAGGAAGCAUUUAGAAAUCACCAUGUUUCACUGGUGGAAUCAGGUCAAACAUGUUUUAUUAGAGAAAGAAAGUAUAAAAUACAAAAUAAUGAUUUCCCUCUUUUGUGUUGUGGGUGUAAAGGUUUCUAUUUAAGAAAGUAUCAAGCUCGUCACCAAAUUGUUUGCCAAGGUACAAAUACCAAUCUAAUGAUACCUAUGGUUUCUAUAGCAAGUGAAGAUUAUGAAAAUUAUUCAUAUGAUUUUGUCAACCUUCUUAACACAUUACAACUGUAUGAUAUUGGAAAUUACAUUAAAACUAACAAAAUCAUUUUAAUGAUUGGUUCUAGAUCUUAUAGCGCUCUUAAAAAAAAGAAAGGUAAAGUUUCAGAGACUGAGAGAUUGGUUCGUUCACGAAUGCGGUUAACUGCAAGAUUAUACUUAUCUUUUAAAAGAACCUAUAACAAUCAGAAAGCUGUUAAUUAGAUAAUAUGUUAAAUGAUACAGCUAAUAUGUACUAUCAAAAAGUAAUCACCAUAGUUGGAGAAACUUUUAAGUUUUCUUUCUUUAUCAGAAAAAUCUUUUUUUAUCAGAAAAAUCUUUAUCAGAAAAAUCAGAAAUUUUUUUUUCUUUAUCAGAAAAAUCAAAUGAAGAUUCUGACUAUGUUUUAUUAAGUGCACAAAAAAGUGGCCUAAAAAUCAGUAUACUUAAUUUAUUAAAGUUAAAAGCAAAAUUUUUGAUUGGUUACUUUUUGGUCAAAAAUGAUGAUUUGAAAUCUCAGAGAGUAGUUGAAUUUUUAAAGAUUUUAAAGCUUUAUGCGGAUGAUUUUUUUGGUGAUGCUUUUUAUAAUCUAAAUUAUCGUAAGAAUGUUGAUUUGCGAAAACCAAUUAAUCUCCCAAAUGAAGCAGAUUUCAGAAAGAAUUAAUCAAAAUAUUUACCAAGCUGCUCCUGGAUCCUUAAAAAUAAAACAGGCAAAAGACUAAGAUAUAUUCAAGAAGUGAGCAAGGUUGAUCUAACUUCAUUCAAGUCAAAUAUUUCUAAUUUAGCUGAACAAGAGAUAUGCACUAUAGAGAAACAUGUAAUACCAGCUGAUGAUAGAAACAGCGAUCAAAAAAAAAAAAAUUUAUCAGUUGAAAAAAGCAAUGGAAUAAGACAAGUAAAGUUGCGUUUAACAAAGAAUUCGCCUUUCACCUAGAAAAUAAUCGUGGAUAUCUAGGCCGUAAAGAAAUGGAAGUUUUUGCAGAAAAAUUUAGUUUAGAACUCAAACAAAUCAGAACUAGAAUUGUAAAUACACGAAGAAUAAAACAGUAUUUUCGGA